AGCUGGAAACCAAGAGAAAAAAAAAACAUCAGACUGGGAGAGGAAAGAUGCACAAGCCUCUCAGUGGAGGAAAGGUUCAGUGUGCUGCCGCAUGGCCAUCCCAGCAUUCAUGGGGCUGAGACAUGAGGAUUAUGAAUCAAAGGAAGGACUUGCAUGGCUCCACUCGCCAAGGUCUAGAGAAUUGGACCACUGUUUGGAUUGUUAGUCCUGCCCUAAGCCUAGAUUCUGAUUCAGCAGCUCCUCUUGCACAGGGACCAGGAAUCUGCACUUUAGCAAGCAUACCAGUUGAUUCUACCUACAGAGUCUAUAGACUAACAUCCAAAGAGUCCGACCUGCAGUAAAUCUCAGCUACGAAGUAAAGCAUGAUGGUGCUACAGGGUGACGGCAGGGGCCUUCACUGUGCCCUCCACUCUCUACCCUCUGAUCCAUCAUUGACUUGGAUACCAAUUACUAAUGAUAUCAUGUCCAUUGCAGUUACAACUUAGGAUGUGGACAACUCAUGCUUUUAUACCGUGUAAAAUAUAAAUAAAGGCAUCCUGAGGAAA